ACCAGGAUGGCCGAGUGGUUAAGGCGUUGGACUUAAGAUCCAGUGGACGUGUCCUCGUGGGUUCAAACCCCACUCCUGGUA
rnacentral:tRNA from 1 species